UUUAUACUCCCUCCAUCCGAAAAUAUUUGUCAUCAAAAUAAACAAAAAAGGAUGUAUCUAAAACUAAAAUACAUCUAGAUACAUCCCCUUUUAUUCAUUUUGAUGACAAGUAUUUCCGGACGAAGGAAGUACUAA
rnacentral:pre_miRNA from 1 species